UCUCGAUUGGUCUAGUGGUCAGGAUACCUGCUUGUCAUUCUAUAAGUCGCCAUUGAUGAUGGUAUAGAUAUAAUCCGCAGGUGGCCGGGGUUCGAUUCCCCGAUCGAGAG